CUGCCGUGUCCGUUGCGGUAGAAAGCUUCUAGAUCGAGCCACCUCUUCUAUCAACGUGUUUUCAGAUAUGUUCUCUCUAUACUGUCGUUGCUGCCACUGUUGCCACUACAGUUUCUGCCACCGUUGUCACUACAGUUUCUACCGUUGAUGCCACCGUAGUUGCCAUGGUAUUUACACUAUUGUCGGACUGAAUGCCACCCUCGUCUAUCAGAAUCUGUUGCAACAUUACUACAGAAAAGUUGUGAAAAUCAGGCAGGAUAUGAGGCAGCAAGCCAAUGAAACUGGAGAAGCUACUACACCAAUUAUAGUAAGGCAGCUAGAAGAUAUUUUUAGGUUGAAUGAGACAUUUGCCAAAAUGAAACUGUACGUAUUGCUAUUAUUUUUCAUAGACUUUACUUGCCCGUUCGCAACAUCUGCUUCGGUUUAAUUAAAACAUUAGUUAAUCCUUUAUAAGAAAUUUGUACCAAUCAUAGUAAUAUAGAAUAGUGGUAGUAGAAUAGAGUAGAAAUAGGAAAAUAGAGAAGAUAAAAUGGGAGAGAUAUGAG